rnacentral:rRNA from 1 species
UACCAGCUCUCCGAGUGGUGUGGAUGUUUAUUGGGCCUAAAGCAUCCGUAGCUGGCCAAGUUAGUCCCCUGUUAAAUCCACCGAAUUAAUCGUUGGUGUGCGGGGGAUACUGCUCGGCUAGGGGACGAGAGAGGCAGACGGUAUUUUCGGGGUAGGGGUGAAAUCCUAUAAUCCCGGGAAGACCACCAGUGGCGAAGGCUGUCUGCUAGAACGCGCCCGACGGUGAGGGAUGAAAGCUGGGGGAGCGAACCGGAUUAGAUACCCGGGUAGCCCCAGCUGUAAACGAUGCAGGCUAGGUGUUUGAACGGCCACGGGCCGCUCUAGUGCCGCAGGGAAGCUGUUAAGCCUGCCGCCUGGGGAGUACGAUCGCAAGAUUGAA